rnacentral:rRNA from 1 species
AAAUUGAAGAGUUUGAUCAUGGCUCAGAUUGAACGCUGGCGGCAGGCCUAACACAUGCAAGUCGAACGGUAACAGGAAGCAGCUUGCUGCUUUGCUGACGAGUGGCGGACGGGUGAGUAAUGUCUGGGAAACUGCCUGAUGGAGGGGGAUAACUACUGGAAACGGUGGCUAAUACCGCAUAACGUCGCAAGACCAAAGAGGGGGACCUUCGGGCCUCUUGCCAUCAGAUGUGCCCAGAUGGGAUUAGCUGGUUGGUGAGGUAACGGCUCACCAAGGCGACGAUCCCUAGCUGGUCUGAGAGGAUGACCAGCCACACUGGAACUGAGACACGGUCCAGACUCCUACGGGAGGCAGCAGUGGGGAAUAUUGCACAAUGGGCGCAAGCCUGAUGCAGCCAUGCCGCGUGUAUGAAGAAGGCCUUCGGGUUGUAAAGUACUUUCAGCGGGGAGGAAGGUGUUGUGGUUAAUAACCGCAGCAAUUGACGUUACCCGCAGAAGAAGCACCGGCUAACUCCGUGCCAGCAGCCGCGGUAAUACGGAGGGUGCAAGCGUUAAUCGGAAUUACUGGGCGUAAAGCGCACGCAGGCGGUCUGUCAAGUCGGAUGUGAAAUCCCCGGGCUCAACCUGGGAACUGCAUUCGAAACUGGCAGGCUUGAGUCUUGUAGAGGGGGGUAGAAUUCCAGGUGUAGCGGUGAAAUGCGUAGAGAUCUGGAGGAAUACCGGUGGCGAAGGCGGCCCCCUGGACAAAGACUGACGCUCAGGUGCGAAAGCGUGGGGAGCAAACAGGAUUAGAUACCCUGGUAGUCCACGCCGUAAACGAUGUCUACUUGGAGGUUGUGCCCUUGAGGCGUGGCUUCCGGAGCUAACGCGUUAAGUAGACCGCCUGGGGAGUACGGCCGCAAGGUUAAAACUCAAAUGAAUUGACGGGGGCCCGCACAAGCGGUGGAGCAUGUGGUUUAAUUCGAUGCAACGCGAAGAACCUUACCUGGUCUUGACAUCCACGGAAGUUUUCAGAGAUGAGAAUGUGCCUUCGGGAACCGUGAGACAGGUGCUGCAUGGCUGUCGUCAGCUCGUGUUGUGAAAUGUUGGGUUAAGUCCCGCAACGAGCGCAACCCUUAUCCUUUGUUGCCAGCGGUCCGGCCGGGAACUCAAAGGAGACUGCCAGUGAUAAACUGGAGGAAGGUGGGGAUGACGUCAAGUCAUCAUGGCCCUUACGACCAGGGCUACACACGUGCUACAAUGGCGCAUACAAAGAGAAGCGACCUCGCGAGAGCAAGCGGACCUCAUAAAGUGCGUCGUAGUCCGGAUUGGAGUCUGCAACUCGACUCCAUGAAGUCGGAAUCGCUAGUAAUCGUGGAUCAGAAUGCCACGGUGAAUACGUUCCCGGGCCUUGUACACACCGCCCGUCACACCAUGGGAGUGGGUUGCAAAAGAAGUAGGUAGCUUAACCUUCGGGAGGGCGCUUACCACUUUGUGAUUCAUGACUGGGGUGAAGUCGUAACAAGGUAACCGUAGGGGAACCUGCGGUUGGAUCACCUCCUUACCUUAAAGAAGC